UACGUAGGGGGCAAGCGUUAUCCGGAUUUACUGGGUGUAAAGGGAGCGUAGACGGCAGUGCAAGUCUGGAGUGAAAGGCGGGGGCUCAACCCCCGGACUGCUCUGGAAACUGUACGGCUGGAGUGCAGGAGAGGUAUGCGGAAUGCGUGGUGUAGCGGUGAAAUGCAUAGAUAUCACGCAGAACCCCGAUUGCGAAGGCAGCAUGCCGGCUUCCUACUGACGCUGAAGCACGAAAGCGUGGGGAUCGAACAGG
rnacentral:rRNA from 1 species